GUAACUUCACGGAAAGAAAAGAGCCUCUCUUUCGACGGGCCGGGGUAAAAUUAUCCGUUUGAUCCUGGGGGAGGUUUCCGGUUUUGGGGUUCGGGUAAAAAAUGCGAGUCGAGAGGGUUCAGACCCUCGGCGGACUGCUCUUUAACACGUGGAUAAUCUGCCCUAUGGUGGAGGAUAACCACGGGAAACUGGUUCCCCCUACUCCAUAAGUCAGGAGUACUGGAAUGUCUCCUAACUGAAAGUUGUAACACACCAACAAUGACCCCCCAAAAAAAAGGCCGACUGUUGUUUUACGGCCCAUCUUCCCCCCUUUUCGGGACGGGGGGGCGCGCCCUCCCCCCCCCCGGAAAUGGAAUCUCACCUUUUUUUUCCUUGGCCCUAAGGGGGGGGAGGAGGUUCUUUUUCUUUUCAUUGGAGAAAACUGUGAUAGGGGACCCCAAGUGCCCGAAAAAGCCGGCUGCCCGGUGUUUAAACACAUCAA
rnacentral:rRNA from 1 species